rnacentral:misc_RNA from 1 species
GGGCUUGCGUCCAUGCAACAGGAGCAGGUGGAGGUGCAUCCAUGGCAUGGGGAAAAGAGCGCCCACGCUCAGCCAUGGGAGAAGGCGUGGUGUCGGCAUGGGCACUAGGCACCGAGGAGGAUUUCGUGUGCUAGCUGCUAGAAUAGAGAUAGGGGAGGGUGACUGAGUACCCACCAGGGAAGGGACGACCAAGGAACCAGCAUGGAGAGGGCGCUGGCUCAAGCCAUGGAGAAGGGGUUCGGCUGCCCUCCAUGGCUGCCUGGAUCUCAGGCGCGGCAGGGGUUCGCUCCAGGCGCUGAACAUGGGAGGAGUGGAAGGGGGCGUCGGUCUGGGGAGGAUGGCGGCCAGGUGGGGCUGGUCGAUGGAAUCCACGGCAAGGCGGGGGUGGCCGGACUUGAGAAGGGCAGGAAGCCAGAUGGGAGAGGGAGCGUACGUGCAGAAAGCAAACAAGGAGCCCAAGCCAAGGGGACGAGCUCACCUGCUCGAGCUCGGACCCUGAGAAAUGCCCUGCGCGCUG